ensembl:lncRNA
CAGGAUGGUGCAACGUAGAAACAGGGCCCUGAAUCCACAUGUUGCCAGCUUCAUCAAGGAAUUCACCAAUUAUGACUGGCUGAAUUAUUAGAGUUAGGUAAGACUUUUAAGUACUGAUUUAGUAAAGAGGAAAGAUUAGUCAGUGUAGUUAAAAGUAUCAACAAACAAAAAUCUAAAUUUCAAUAUUUUAUUUGCUUUUAAUGGGAAAUACAAACAUUACAUUUAAAUGUAAUCAGGAGCAUUUUUACAUUAAUUGUAUCAAGAAGGAAAUUCAGAAAGGGGAUGCAUUGUGAAACGAAUAUCUCUGUGUAGGUCUAUGCAGUGUUGAAUAUGUUUUUCAUUUCUUUCAGCGUGUAUGUUGUUCGACAUUGCAGCGUGCUGAUGAGUUAAUAAAGAGCGUGUAUGUUAUUCGACAUUGCAGCGUGCUGAUGAGUAUCGCUCUUCGGUUAAUAAAGAGGCAGCAAAAACCUGGGAUCUGCAUUGGCCCUGUCAAGUCUGGAGAGUGUUUUUACCGUUUAAUGAAUUAAAUUGUAAUAAAAGUUUUUAAAUGGACUUCUGAGUGUUGUCA